rnacentral:rRNA from 1 species
GUUGUAUGGUUAAGUGACUAAGCGUACACGGUGGAUGCCUUGGCAGUCAGAGGCGAUGAAAGACGUAAUAACUUGCGAUAAGCCCAGAUUAGGUAGUAAUAACCUUUUGAGUCUGGGAUUUCUGAAUGGGGAAACCCACGUGCAUAAGCACGUAUCCUGUUG